rnacentral:misc_RNA from 1 species
GACCGGCUCCGGCGUUGCCAUCAUGUGGUUCCGGAACGAUUUACGGGUUCUCGACAAUGAAGCCCUCUUCCGCGCCUGGGCCGCCUCCGCUGCCGUUCUGCCGGUGUACUGCGUCGACCCCCGCAAUUUCGGGGCUACAUAUCACUUCGGCUUCCCCAAAACUGGAGCCUUGAGAGCACAAUUUUUGAUAGAGUGCCUCAUUGA